ACCCUCCCACAAGACAGGAGCUUUCUCUGUAGAAUCAGCUUGUAGGAGACUUUAAUGUGAUCCCCAAUGUUACUCACCAGAAAACAGGCUUGUGGGACAAAUCUGUUGAAUGCACCAACUUCCUUAAUCAGUUAUAUUUUAAGGCACAUAUGAGAAUCCAUAAUGGAAAAAAAUUCUUUGAAUUGAGUCAAUUUUCAGGAGAUUUUACAUGUUCUACAAGGGGAGUUCUGCCUAUCAAAUGUACACCAUAAAAGCCUUUGAAUGUAAAAUUUGUGGGAAAGUCUCUGGGUAUUCUUUAAGUCUUAAUAGUCACCUGCAAACCCACACUGGGGAGAAACAUUAUGAAUGUAAAAUAUGUAAAAAAUUCUUCACUACUUCUUCAAGUCUAACUGAACACUUCAAACUAGAGAGAAACCCUAUAAAUGUAAGGAAUAUGGAAACGCUUUUACUAAGCACUCAGGACUUUCUUCACGUGUAUAAACACAUUCGGGAAAGAAGUCUUGUGUAUGUAAGUUAUGUGGGAGAUCCUUCAUGAUUCCUUCAAAUAUGACUGAGCAUUUCAGAAUUCAUACUGGAGAGAAACCCUACCAAAGUAAAGAAUGUGGGAAAGCCAUCCAUGCAUCUUCUUACCUUCAUAAGCAUCUAAGAACACAUACCAGAGAAAAACCUUAUAAAUGUGAGAAGCGUGGGAAAGCCUUCCAUACUUCCUCCUACCUAUGGAAACAUGUAAGAACUCACAGUGCAGAGAAACCUUAUGAAUGUAGGGAAUGUGGCAAAGCCUACAAAAGGUGUUAUCUAUUGCAUGAACAUUUAAAAACUCACAUGGUAAGAAAGCCUUUGGUUGCAAGGUAUGUUGGAAAGCCUUUUGAACGUUCUGCAUGCUGUAAUAAGCACAUUCAUCCUCACACCGGAGUCAAACCUUAUAAAUGUAAGUACUGUGGCAAAGACUUCACUGUCUCCUCAAGUCUAAUUGGACAAACAAGAGCACAUUGGAGAGAGGCCCUAUAAAUGUAAAGAACGUGGGAAAGCCUCUACCUCAGCCUCAUGUCUGAUUGUCCAUAAGAGAACUCACACUGGAGAGAAACCCUAUGAAUGUAAGGAGUGUGGGAAAGCUCACAAGAGGUGUUACCUACUGACUGGACAUGUAAAGACUCACACGGGGGAAAAGCCUU
ensembl:antisense Fbxl12os F-box and leucine-rich repeat protein 12, opposite strand